AUUGAACGCUGGCGGCAGGCCUAACACAUGCAAGUCGAGCGAGCGGCGGACGGGUGAGUAAUGUCUGGGAAACUGCCUGAUGGAGGGGGAUAACUACUGGAACCGGUAACUAAUACCGCAUACCAUCAGAUUUGCCCAGAUGGGAUUAGCGAGUAGGUGGGGUACAGGCUCACCUAGGCGACGAUCCCUAGCUGGUCUGAGAGGAUGACCAGCAACACGGGAACGGAGACACGGUCCAGACUCCUACGGGAGGCAGCAGUGGGGAAUAUGGCACAAUGGGCGCAAGCCUGAUGCAGCCAUGCCGCGUGUGGGAAGAAGGCCUUCGGGUUGUAAAGCACUGUCAGCGGGGAGGCGUUACCCGCAGAAGAAGCACCGGCUAACUCCGUGCCAGCAGCCGCGGUAAUUC
rnacentral:rRNA from 1 species